CUGGAAACUACCUUUAGUACUUCAUUGGUUUAUUUGACAGCUAGUUCUUAAAUUGUUGUAUUGAGAGAAAUUGAUAUUCAAAAUAUAGUAAAAAAACACAAGGACUAAUAAAAAUAAGAAGAUGUGAUAUAAUGGCAAACCCCACAAGAAACCAAAUGAUUAAUAAGGUUGCAAUAAAAGGCCAACUUCCCGCUUUCAACAUCCGGCAAAGUAAUUCAAACGAGUAAACAAGAGCUCUAACUGCCUGAUUCAUAUUCAGAUCGAGUAAACGAGAAAAAAAUAUGAUACCGUGACAACA
rnacentral:lncRNA from 1 species